CACAAGGGGUAAACGUUUCCCAGCGAUUCCAUCCGCAGUUAACUCUGCCCCUAAGAGCAGCCUACGCAAGUAGGGAGUGGUGUUCCUCACAUGCUAGUCGGCCGCGAGGCCGGCGAUACCUUCAAACUGCGGGGAACGCCUUAGAGGCCCUGGUACCAAGCACCACCCCGAAAGGUUGGUGUGGCGUAGCUAAUCACUACGGUACGGUAACAACCCAGGCGCAUUGGCCGAUCCGCAGGCAAGCCCCUCUGGGCCCCCCCCGGGGGCCCUCUGCGGGAAGCUUCAGAGACUAGACGGAGGUAGGUCCGCGGCGGGAGACCGCCGUGGGCUUAAGAUAUAGUCCAAGCCAGCCCUGAAAGGGGGUG
rnacentral:ncRNA from 1 species